CAAAGUGGGCGGGGUUACAGUACACUCACUUCCGCAUUACUGUACUGAAUAGAUUUAAUAAAACCGGUCGUGUAUGUUGAAGUUUCGGAGUCAGUUUCGCGUUAUUAGAAAAACUUGAGUUUUUAUCUCGUAAACAAAAUUUGUAACCAUUUAUUUUCAUAAAAAGAUUUACAUGAAGUAACCACAUAAAAAGUGGACGUGAUAUAAUCAUCGUAUUAAAUCAGUAUUUAACGUUAAUCGUCUUGAAGAGUGACCCGCAUCAUAACUGAAAGAUGUUAAAAGCGAUUAUCCUAAUUGGGGGGCCUCAAAAAGGUACCAGGUUCCGCCCCCUGUCAUUCGAGGUGCCCAAACCUCUGUUCCCUGUGGCAGGAGUUCCCAUAAUGCAGCAUCACAUAGAAGCCUGUGCUCAAGUUCCUGAUAUGAAAGAGAUCAUACUAAUAGGUUUUUAUCAGCCCAAUGAUGAGCUAAAUCGCUUCAUUUCUUGUGCUCAGCAGGAGUUUAAAAUCCCAAUAAGGUACCUGCAGGAGUUUGCCGCCUUGGGUACAGGUGGUGGAAUCUAUCACUUUCGUGACCAGAUCCUGUCUGGUGGUCCAGCUGCAUUUUUCCUCAUGAAUGCUGAUGUGUGCUCUGAGUUCCCCUUGCAGGAAAUGCUCCGGUUUCACCGUCAACAUGGCGAGGAUCAUUGUGGAGUCUUACUCGGAACUACAGCCAAUAGAACACAAUCUCUGAACUACGGCUGCAUUGUGGAAAAUCAUGAGACAAAUGAGGUGCUCCAUUUUGUGGAGAAACCCAGUACUUUUGUAAGUGACAUUAUCAACUGUGGUAUCUAUUUGUUCACACCAGAUAUAUUUGGUCAGAUUGGGAUGGUUUUCCAGAGGAACCAGCAAGAGAGGAUCCAAGAAGAGCUCACUAAUGGCAAGCAGAUGCCAGAGGUGAUUCAGCUGGAACAGGACAUCUUUACAACCCUAGCAGGACAGAAAAAACUCCUUGUCUACAAAACACAGCAUUUCUGGAGUCAGAUCAAGUCUGCAGGGUCAGCAAUAUACGCGAGUCGUUUGUACCUCAAGCAGUAUCAUCAGACACAUCCUGAGAGGCUGGCCACAAACCAAGACAAAACUCCCAAAAUAAUAGGAGAUGUUUAUAUCCACCCUGCAGCAAACAUUGAUCCCUCUGCUGUGUUGGGUCCUAACGUUUCAAUUGGCAAAGGGGUGACAAUUGGAGGAGGCGUAAGAGUGAGGGAGUCCAUCAUUUUACAUGGAGCCGUGUUACAGGACCACUGUUGUGUGUUAAACAGUAUUGUUGGGUGGGACAGUACAGUGGGAAAGUGGGCAAGAGUUGAAGGAACUCCAAGUGACCCCAAUCCCAACGAUCCUUAUGCCAAGAUUGACAGCGAGACUCUGUUCAGGGACGGAGGUCUAACCCCAUCCAUCACCAUCCUUGAAGAGCCAGCGACAAAUCCUGGAAAGACUGGCCGAGAUGAAGCUGUUCUCUGCGGGUACAUGAGCGCUGAACGCUCGCUGGCGGCCUGGAGCUCACAUCUGUGAAAGCGUCUAAACAAAUUGUAAAACAGGCUCUAUGUUUAUAUGAGUCAAAUAUUUGACAUAACAACAGUAGUAUUUUUAAAAAUAUGGUGGAUUUGCUCGACCGCCAUGACAGUCACCACAAGCGGAUAUUGCACGGCUCUCAGCCAAUCAGAUUCGAGAACCAGAAUUUUCAGCAUCAUUACUCCAGUCUUCAGUGUCACAUGAUCCUUUGCUGCAAUGUGAAUAUUCCAUCAGAGGUCAUCAUUCGAAACUCUAUCGUCUUGCCUCAUAAAGAUCUCAACAGGAGCUUCAAAAACCAGAUUAUUCUGUAGAAGACUUCUUUUGUCUUUCUGAAUAAAUACAGUACAUUGGGUCAUGUGGAAAGUAUAUAGCUUAAAAAUUGCACAAUGUUUAAUGUUCAUCGUUUUUUAAUGUUUAUAUAUUUGGUAGUUACUGCUCAGAGACAAGGAGUCCAUUUGUGUGAUCAAAUUGUAUUGUAGUAAUAUAGUAUGAAUAAUAUGGUUCAACAAUGGGAUAUUUUCCUGAUUAUUUCAGGACUGGGAAUUUUGUAUUUAAUGGCUCACUCUGUGCUAAUGUACCAGCCUUAUCCACAUACAGUAACAUAACACUAGAUUUACUUUUUACUUCUUACUUCCUUAAUUACAAAUCACAUAUACGUGUAUUGCCUUUUCAGCAAAAUGACGAGUGAGCAAUGAAGUAUUUUUCUAGAAACUGACAGAUUUGAAGGCACAUUGUUUUGGCAAAGGCUGGAUAUAAGGUUUAGGGGUUUUUUGUAAUUAUUCCUGUUUUCUGUUACAACCAUUUAUUAAAAUGAUCUCAACCACUGAAACAUCAGAA